ensembl:lncRNA
CCGCGGUCACCGCUACCACUAAGUAUAGAGUGAGGCUGGAGUCGUUAGGUCUGGCAGAGGGUUCGAGGCUGCCCAGGUCGGCAAGGACGUCUGGGAUGCUAUCAGCCACGGCCACGGGAAAAGCUUCAUUUUAUCCUCUACUAAGAUGCUGAAACUCACCAGACACCGUGCGCUCUGAGCACAGAGCUCCUCCCGAUCUAGCCUGCCCGCGGUGGUCAAGCUGCCACUUCGUGCAUUCAGAGCAAAAAGCUGCGUCCUACCUCUGGAGACGAUGCGGACUCUCGGCUCAUCCAGCUCCUGGGGUUGUAGCCCCAGGUUUUUGGUAAUGUUGCCCACGAAGAAACCUUCAUCUGUCUCUUCUGGCACCGAGUAGCGGAUCUUCCCGGCCUUGGCUUCCAGCAACAGCCCCAGAAAAAUGAACAGCAGGACCAGCCUGCCGCAGCCAAGCAGCUUCACGGGAAUCGCCAUUUCUCUCUUGCUUCGUAGUUUUCUCCUAGUUCCGGGCUUGUCUGCAUGCGUCUGUGCUGCCUGUAUCUCCCAGACUGGUGAACAGCGGCACCCAGAGUCCUCACCAGUUACUGCACUCCUAGAUAAUACUCAUGAACAUGAUUUAUCUUUCCUUAAGUUUUAGUUUAUUGACAAGGAAAUAGUUAAGCAUUCUACUAUAUAUGUAUGAAAAGGAGAAGCUACUAUGUUCAUUUAAUUAACCAUAUCUAAAUGUUGCUAAAUUUCAAUAUACAGUAGAAUUCCAGUAUUCCCAAGCUAUCUGCUUUCCCUGUUUGCUAUUCAGGGAAUAUCACAAAAAGGACAAAAUCAUCCUUCUACGUCUUCUGUAGUAUAUCUUGACCACCUGAUAAUUUCCCAAGCCACAGAGGAGAGCAACUGCCCUUUGACUGGAAGAUGAAAAAAAUCGGAGGGAAAAAUAUACUUUUAGAAUGUACGCUAGACUUUAAAAAAUUGAACUGCUCAUUUCCUUUCCAUUGUGCUUUGAACAUUUAUCAGAAACCUUGGAAUUUUGAAGGACAUGUUUUAUCCCUAUCCUUACUUUUCCUCUUUUUCUGAAGUGUCUAUGUAUUAUGUGGAUUUUAAAAGACCUUUAAUAUGAGUUUUUUAAAGAACUUUAAUUCACCCAAAGGUAAUAUAUUUUGAAAAAAAUUAUACCAAGCUUUUGGAAUUUUACUGGAAAAAUGUCACACGAACAUCUUACAGACUUCAAAUUUAAGAGACAAAUGAGGUAGUGACAUUAUUUUUCAAAAUUGAAAAGAAAAAGGCCACAUCUUUAUUUUUAGACAGGCUUAUUAGGAUAAUAUGUAUUCUCCUACAAUCACACAAUAUUUUCUCUAAAAGAAGUUGCUUUUCUUAAAAAGCAGGAUUUUAAAACUAGAUUGCCUUCCUUCUUUUACUCAUUGCAAAACUAGUAAAAGAUUCCUAACUAAAAUGUCUCAGGCUUAGAGUGAUUUAUUUAUCUUUACCAAAAAGUUAGGGAAAAAUGUUCUCUGCAUUCCAGAGGUUGACAUUUUUCAGGACAAACUGGGCCAAAUAUUGGCAGCCACCCUAUGGACAACAUGAGAAGGGUCUGGAAAAUGAGGAAAGAAAGGAAACAAUCAAAGACCACAAGAAUAGUUCUUGGAAAGAGAAUUUCUGUUCCUGUAUAAUCAAAUCUAUAGUUUCUCAGCUUCUCAAAGACAAGUAUAUAGAAACCAAGGGCAGAAACUUAGAAAGUUCAAUAUUGCAAGGAAAGAACUCUUUAGCAGGAAACAUAACAUAAAUUAAUAGGCACAAAACUCUCCCCAAAGGAAUUGUCCAGGUUAACGAGACAAAUGAAAAUAUACACAGAAACCAGCAAGUAAACUUGUAGAGUUCGUACCCCCAACCCCCACCGCCAACAACAAAAACCAAGCAGGAUUGAUUUACAACAGGAUGAUAUUUAUGAAAUAAAAGUGUUAAAACUCACACGUAUACAUUUGAAUCCAAUGUAAUAUUUAAGGCUUCAUUGCUGGCACUAUAGAGAAUAUCCAGUUGAAAGAUGUUUCCUGAGUUAACUUGAAGAAAUUAAGAUUUUGCAAUAUCUGAAGUCAAACAAGGGUUGCAGGAAUAGGGCAAAUCUCUCUCCCUGAAGUGGGAGCAACUACAAAUCCAGGCUUGGACCAGAGACGAGGCUGAAAGCUGGGCUGGGGAAACAUCAAAGGUGCAGGGUGAUGGGCGGAGUCACUGUGAGGAGGAAGAGCACGGAGAUCAAGGCCAAGGCCACGACCAGCUAAAACUAGCUCUGCCUGCCUGGUGGCAGGUACCAGGCAGUCGUUGAGGUCCAACAGCAACUCCUGCAAACUGUAGGCAAAGACCAGGUACAUCAUCAUGACUGUCACCACUGCGCACAGUGACCAGCAAGCCCUGGAGAACAGUGUCUCUGUUACUUGCAGCACCGCAGCACGCAUCUCACUCUUGUGUAUCCCCAGGUUGAAGAGUUGGAUUAGGUGGUCUGAAGCAUGUGAUAGGACAGGCAGGCAUUGCAUUCUAGUCGGCAUCCACUUUGGUGACCAGGUAAGCAAGGCUGUGCAAUGCGUGGUGCUGCAUCAAAGAGGGAUGCCACUUCCCACUGCAGUUCCUGGCAUAGCAUCCUCUGUGCAUUUUCAUGGUGGUAGUCCACUGUUACAGGCAGGUUCAGGAUGACACUGAGCCCAGUCAAACCCUGGUCACAGGCCCAUAAAGUCAGCUCAAAGGUAGGCUGCAGUGAACACAACUGUGCUCUGCGCUCACUGAUACAUGCGACAACAGUGUCCACAGUGCUGGGUCACUGGUCAGGAAGAAACAGGAGGCACACAGGGCCCCAAGUUGGGGUCAGACUAGACACCCAGCUGAAAGUCACCCACACUGCAUUAUAGUUCUCAACCUCCAUUUCAACCAGGAUUCUGAAAUGGGCUGUUAAACUGUCUCCAGUCUUCUCUUCUAUCCCAUGAUGUACCUCACUCUUCAAAAUCAAAGAUGGUGCUGUCAUUAUUGAAUGGUAGAUAUAUUCUGCAUGCCCUGUGAGAUUGUGUGGAAAGUGCAGAACUCUCCCUUAAAGGGUGUCAUCUAGGUCAGUGGGGAUCACCUGAAGAAAGCAGAUGAGGAGGUAGAGGGCAGGUUCUCCUGCAGGCAGACUCUGCUGUACUCCUGUGGCUCAGUUUGGGAGGACUGGCUUUGGCAUCCAAGACCAGAAUCUUGCCCUGAGCCGUUCUGUCCCUUCCCCACCAUGAAGCAGCACCGCUCCUCUGAUCCAGAUUUCUCCAAUUGCAACCAGAGUAUUACUGGCCUAGUGCUCUCUUUUACUUCUGGGUGCAAGGGAGAUGGUUACUGAAACUACUCUGAUAAAUUUGUACAGAAUUACUUGUACGGUCCAAAUCUGUUGUGGUUUAGGAGUAAACUUUGCUCCUAUUAAGAUGUUUUCCAGAAUUUUCAAAACAAAAUGUCCGUACUAAAAGCCAUAUGUUAUUUAUAUCCAGGAUGAAUACCUUUAUAUGAAAAGCAUUUAUAGGAUUUCCAGUGAAGAUUUCAGAGUCAAGGGGCCCAGGGUCUUCCUUUGGCAUAUCCGCUAGAUCUAUCCUGUCAUUCUCAGUUCGUCCCUGCUCUCUUCGCUGGCGAUAAAGAGAGGCUUCUCAGCACUCACUCACGGUUCUUGCCACGGAGACGCAGAUCUUUGGCGAGAUUCCCCACUUUUAAAUUCCUGACUGUCUCUUCCGGAAGUAUCGCAUCUGCUACGUAGUUCACUAGGCUGAACAAAGACAGCAAGAGGGGAAACAGUAAUCCCUGCGCUCUGCGCACCUUCCCUGUGGAAGACUUCUCCCUAUUUCUUCUCGAUGCUGCUCCUCAGAUCCGAAUACACCUCACUACGGUGGCUCCGAGACUACAAAGGUGAGCUGGGAAGGCAGCGCCUCAUUUGCAGUCAUUAAACAUCCUGACGUUCCUGACCCAGAUAUUUGGACCAGAUUCCGGGAGAGAGAGAGUGCAGAGUCGGCUCCUGAUGUGUUUCUCCAAAGUCUGCGGAGAUCGCUGCGUCACAAUCGUCAGAGGAUUGCCUUGCUUCACUCUAGCCACGGAUUGGCCGACAGCGGCACCCAGAGGCCCAGUAUGUAUCUACCGCAUGUUAUUUCUGAAGGUCUUCACAGGAGACUCUAUGUAUGUAUUUGCUUUAUUUCCGGGACUCAUCUUAGAAUACCAGCUAGUUUAGUACAAAGGCUGCAAGUCAUUAUUUCAUUUUGACAAAAUGUUAAUAAAAUGAUCUUUCCACAAAAUUUAAAUCAAAUGUCUUAACUUAUUAAAAUGCACAUUGACUUAAGAAUUCUUACGAAUUUUCCCUCUUGACAUUUCCUUUUGGAGAUGACAUACUAUUGAAGCUUCUUUUUCUUGAAAAUUUUUUACUCAAGAAAUUAUCCAUUGUAAAAAGAAUUUU